AUUGAACGCUGGCGGCAGGCCUAACACAUGCAAGUCGAGCGGAUGAGAGGAGCUUGCUCCUCGAUUCAGCGGCGGACGGGUGAGUAAUGCCUAGGAAUCUGCCUAGUAGUGGGGGACAACGUUUCGAAAGGAACGCUAAUACCGCAUACGUCCUACGGGAGAAAGUGGGGGAUCUUCGGACCUCACGCUAUUAGAUGAGCCCAGGUCGGAUUAGCUAGUUGGUAGGGCAACGGCCUACCAAGGCGACGAUCCGUAACUGGUCUGAGAGGAUGAUCAGUCACACUGGAACUGAGACACGGUCCAGACUCCUACGGGAGGCAGCAGUGGGGAAUAUUGGACAAUGGGCGAAAGCCUGAUCCAGCCAUGCCGCGUGUGUGAAGAAGGCCCUCGGGUCGUAAAGCACUUUAAGUUGGGAGGAAGGGCUUACAGCGAAUACCUGUGAGUUUUGACGUUACCGACAGAAUAAGCACCGGCUAACUUCGUGCCAGCCGCCGCCGUAA
rnacentral:rRNA from 1 species